rnacentral:precursor_RNA from 7 species
CACAUGGUGGAGUUUCGAAGGUGUGAAGUCAGCAAACCCUUCACCCUGCCGUGUUCCCUUCAUGCCAGGCAGGGUUAUUGGUUUUGUGUGACAUCGCAUCUCUUCCUGAGAUGUCUUUUUC